rnacentral:rRNA from 1 species
ACUCCUACGGGAGGCAGCAGUGGGGAAUAUUGGACAAUGGGCGCAAGCCUGAUCCAGCCAUGCCGCGUGUGUGAAGAAGGCCUUCGGGUUGUAAAGCACUUUCAGUAAGGAGGAAAGCGUAGUCGCUAAUAUCGGCUAUGUGUGACGUUACUUACAGAAGAAGCACCGGCUAACUCCGUGCCAGCAGCCGCGGUAAUACGGAGGGUGCAAGCGUUAAUCGGAAUUACUGGGCGUAAAGCGUACGCAGGCGGUUGAUUAAGCGAGAUGUGAAAGCCC